rnacentral:rRNA from 1 species
AUCGUACCCCAAACCGACACAGGUGGUCAGGUAGAGAAUACCAAGGCGCUUGAGAGAACUCGGGUGAAGGAACUAGGCAAAAUGGUGCCGUAACUUCGGGAGAAGGCACGCUGAUAUGUAGGUGAAGUCCCUCGCGGAUGGAGCUGAAAUCAGUCGAAGAUACCAGCUGGCUGCAACUGUUUAUUAAAAACACAGCACUGUGCAAACACGAAAGUGGACGUAUACGGUGUGACGCCUGCCCGGUGCCGGAAGG